GAUGAACGCUGGCGGCGUGCCUAAUACAUGCAAGUCGAGCGAACAGAUGAGAAGCUUGCUUCUCUGAUGUUAGCGGCGGACGGGUGAGUAACACGUGGGUAACCUACCUAUAAGACUGGGAUAACUCCGGGAAACCGGGGCUAAUACCAGAUAAUAUUUGAACCGCAUGGUUCGAUAGUGAAAGACGGUUUCGGCUGUCACUUAUAGAUGGACCCGCGCCGUAUUAGCUAGUUGGUAAGGUAACGGCUUACCAAGGCGACGAUACGUAGCCGACCUGAGAGGGUGAUCGGCCACACUGGAACUGAGACACGGUCCAGACUCCUACGGGAGGCAGCAGUAGGGAAUCUUCCGCAAUGGGCGAAAGCCUGACGGAGCAACGCCGCGUGAGUGAUGAAGGUCUUCGGAUCGUAAAACUCUGUUGUUAGGGAAGAACAAAUUUGUUAGUAACUGAACAAGUCUUGGCGGUACCUAACCAGAAAGCCACGGCUAACUACGUGCCAGCCGCCGCCGUAA
rnacentral:rRNA from 1 species